GCGUGAUGGCAGGUGUGUAUGGCGGCGACCACAAGCUCUCCGGGAGCUCCGCAUCUGAGUCUCGGCCAUCCUCCACAGCAAGGAGCUGGGCCAAGGGAGCUAGCAGCGCUACUGGUUUCUUGAGGCCGGAUCGUGUAAGAUGGUGCACCACGGCGUGCGGCGGCCUAUUCUGUCGUAGUGGGUUAUGAUGAUAUUUCCAAGGAAAUAUACUGACUCUGAUGUGGCUAAGGUGCCCAUUUGCCCUUUCUGAAACAAUUUUACUCUGUUUUGUGUUCUUCCUGCAUGUCCAGUUUCACAUUGCUUGUGUUUCAUGCCAUAUUCAUCAAUCCUGCUCACAUUGCUGUUGUUUUUUCAAUAGCAAAUAAAUAAAUAAAGUAAAUGUACUAUAUCUUGGUAUUCUAGAACUUCAGUGCCUCACAGAAGUUGCUUUAUGUACUGCUUUAGCUUGCAAACCUGAUGAUUUGUUGUCUGUUCUCAUUUCUUAAGUUUGAAAUGUUUCAAACCUGAUGAUAAAGUAAAUGUACUAUUUCUUUAGUUUCUUUAGUUUGCUGCUGACAUGUGGAGGAGAAAGCCACAGGAAUCACCAUCUCAACGGUCCGGCCUUAGUGCUUGCUGCUGACAUUUUGCUGCUAUUGUUCUGCUAGCCAUUCUGCUGACAUUUUGCAGGUGACGCGCAGCCCCCAGGGAGCUCCGCAUCCAAGUCUAGUGUAGGGUAUUUCUGUUUUAAUUUUCUUUGUCAUAGAAUAGUUUUGUUUGGCACUUAUUGUUCCUGGGAUGUAAAGAUAUGUAUUGCUGGAAUGAAUGGUUGUAAUAUAAUAUCAUUGCACGUUGCUUUGAAAAUGUAUCAGAACUGGGCUAGGCCCAAGAUAGCUUGUGGUGUGAUGAGUUGUAAUGUUUAUGGUAUAGUAAUUUUUUUGGAUUGGAUUAAUUUUUUCAGAACUGGGCUAGGCCCAAGUUAUAUUGGACAAUUAUUUUUGAGGGAAAAACAUGAGAGGCCCAGCAAAGAAAUGGCCCAGAAAAAUACAUGAUCAAAAAGAAAAUCUGCUGUUAAAAGGGCCACACAAAGAAAUCAAUAGGGCUGAAUUGUUGGGUCAGACCCAUGUAGCUAAUAAAAGCACAGGAAAAAAAUACAUUAAAAAGGCCGAAUUGUUGGGCUAGGCCCAUGUAGAAAAUUGAUUUGGACCGGGCUGA